rnacentral:snRNA from 1 species
AGCUUUGCGCAGUGGCAGUAUCGUAGCCAAUGAGGUUUAUCCAAGGCGCGAUUAUUGCUAAUUGAAAAAUCCCACUG